rnacentral:rRNA from 1 species
AUAAAAAAUUAUUAUAUUUAAAUUUAGAAAAAUAAUUUAUUAUUUUAUUAAUUUUUAAGAAAAAAAAAAAAUUAUUAUAGUUAAUUAGUAUUGAAAAAGAAUUAAUUUAAAUUUUUAUAAGAAAGUUUUUUUUAUUGUACCUUGUGUUUCAGGGUUUAUUUAAUUUUAAUAGAGAAAUUUAUUAUCUCGAAAUUUAAAGAGCUAAAAUUUUAUUUAUUUUAUUGUUGAAUAAAUAUUUAAAAUUUAAUUUUAGUAAUGAAAUGUUAUUCGUUUUAAAGUAUAUCUGGUUUUUGAAGAAAUAAAUUUAAUUUAUUUAAAUAAUAUUUAAGUUUUUAUUAAAUUUUUAAAUUAUUAUUUAAAAAUAAUUUAAGGGAUUAGCUUUAAGUUAUAUAUUAAUAAGUAAUUAUAUUAAUUUAAAAUUUUUAAGAAUUAAAAUUUUUAUUAUUAAUAAUUUGUUAUAAUAAAUUUUAAAUUAUAAAUAAUUUUUAUUAUUUUUAAUAUUAUAUUUAAAAAAUUUAUUUAAUAAGAUUAAUAAAUUUUAUAAUGAUAGAAUUAGUAUAAUUUUUUUUAAAUAAUUUUAAUAAAGUAAAAUUAAAUUUAAUAAUUUAGCAAAUUUUUUUUGCCUGUUUAUUAAAAACAUGUCCUUUAGAAUUUAAUUUAAGGUUUAAUCUGCCCAUUGAAUAUUUAAAGGCUGCAGUAUUUUAACUGUACAAAGGUAGCAUAAUAAUUAGUUUUUUAAUUGAAAGCUGGAAUGAAUGAUUGAACAAAAAAAAAACUUUUUUAAUUUAAUAUAAUUAAAAUUUUAUUUUUUAGUAAAAAAGCUUAAAUAAUCUUAAAAGACGAGAAGACCCUAUAGAGUUUUAUUUAAAAAUAAAUUAAUUUUUAUAGUAUUUUAUUAUUUAUAUUUUAAAUUUUAUUGGGGUGAUAUAAAAAUUAUUAAACUUUUUAAAAUUUUAACAUUAAUUAAUGAUUAUUUGAUCUUAAGAUUUAGAUUAAUAAAUUAAAUUACCUUAGGGAUAACAGCGUAAUUUUUUUUUAAAGUUCUUAUUGAAAGAAAAGAUUGCGACCUCGAUGUUGGAUUAAAAUUAAAUUUUAAUGAAGAAGUUAAAAUAUUUAGUCUGUUCGACUAUUUAAAUUUUACAUGAUCUGAGUUUAAACCGGCGUGAGCCAGGUUGGUUUCUAUCUAUAAAAAUACUUUAAUAUUUUAGUACGAAAGGACCAAAUAUU